CCGACCGGCGCACGGGUGAGCAACACGUAUGCAACCUGGCCGCCACAGGGGGAUAACCCGCGGAAACGCGGCCUAAUACCCCGUGACGCCACCGGAGGGCAUCCUCCGGUGGCCAAAGGAGCGAUCCGGUGGCGGAUGGGCAUGCGGCGCAUUAGCUAGACGGCGGGGUGACGGCCCACCGUGGCGACGAUGCGUAGGGGUUCUGAGAGGAAGGCCCCCCACACUGGGACUGAGACACGGCCCAGACUCCUACGGAAGGCAGCAG
rnacentral:rRNA from 1 species